CGCUCUUUGAAAUUUUUUAAUUAAUUAAAGUUAAGUGUAUAAAGAGUCGGACCUGCCCAGUGACUGUGUUGUUAAACGGCCGCGGUACUCUGACCGUGCAAAGGUAGCAUAAUCAUUUGCCUUUUAAUUGGAGGCUUGUAUGAAUGGUUUGACGAAAGCUAAGCUGUCUCUUCUUAAAUAUAUAGAAAUUAAUUUUUAGGUGAAGAAGCCUAACAUUUAACUGAGGGACAAGAAGACCCCGUUGAGCUUUAGUGAUUUAGUAAAAUAAAAUAAUUUAAAUAUUUGUAUAAUAUAGUUCAGAUAUUUACACGCAUUAUGGUGUAGGUAUUGUUUACUAAAAAUCUUUAGUUGGGGCGACUGAGGAAUAUAAAAAACUUCCUUUAAAUAGUGCGCUUAUAAUGGAGAUCAAUCUAAAAUGAAUAGAUCCAGUAUUUACUGAUCAAAGGAAAAAGUUACCACGGGGAUAACAGCGUAAUCUUUCUAGAGAGUUCUUAUCGAAGGAAGGGUUUGCGACCUCGAUGUUGGACUAAGAUAUCCUAGAGGUGUAGAAGCUUCUAAUGGUUAGUCUGUUCGACUAUUAAAAUCUU
rnacentral:rRNA from 1 species